UUGAAUUUUAAUGAAGAGUUUGGUUGUAGCUGGCCCAUUCAUUUGGGCAUGUGCACACCUUCCUCUUUCAUCCCACACACACCUGUGAACCUGUGAGACAGAGAUGGGGAAUUUACUUGCUGCUUUUUGGAAUACAAGGGCAAUAGGUUAUUGGACCCCCCCUCUGUCUACUCAAUUAAUAUAAACUCAAUUUAUUUUAAAACGAAUGUAAUGGAUGUAACACAUCUCAUAC
rnacentral:misc_RNA from 1 species